GAUGAACGCUGGCGGCGUGCUUAACACAUGCAAGUCGAACGGGAAUUAUUUUAUUGACACUUCGGUCGAUUUCAUUUAAUUCUAGUGGCGGACGGGUGAGUAACGCGUGGGUAACCUGCCUUAUACAGGGGGAUAACAGUCAGAAAUGGCUGCUAAUACCGCAUAAGCGCACAGAGCUGCAUGGCUCAGUGUGGAAAACUCCGGUGGGAUAAGAUGGACCCGCGUUGGAUUAGCUGGUUGGUGGGGUAACGGCCCACCAAGGCGACGAUCCAUAGCCGGCCUGAGAGGGUGAACGGCCACAUUGGGACUGGGACACGGCCCAGACUCCUAAGGGAGGCAGCAGUGGGGAAUAUUGCACAAUGGGGGAAACCCUGAUGCAGCGACGCCGCGUGAAGGAAGAAGUAUCUCGGUAUGUAAACUUCUAUCAGCAGGGAAGAUAGUGACGGUACCUGACUAAGAAGCCCCGGCUAACUACGUG
rnacentral:rRNA from 1 species